GGGGAAUCUUGCGCAAUGGGCGAAAGCCUGACGCAGCAAUGCCGCGUGAGGGAAGACGGUCUUAGGAUUGUAAACCUCUUUCAGCAGGGACGAAAACAGACGGUACCUGCAGAAGAAGCCCCGGCUAACUACGUGCCAGCAGCCGCGGUAAUACGUAGGGGGCAAGCGUUGUCCGGAAUCAUUGGGCGUAAAGAGCGUGUAGGUGGACUGGAAGGUCUGGUGUGAAAGCCCGGGGCUCAACCCCGGAGGGUCACUGGAAACCAACAGUCUUGAGUCCGGAAGAGGAGAGUGGAAUUCCUAGUGUAGCGGUGGAAUGCGCAGAUAUUAGGAGGAACACCAAUGGCGAAGGCAGCUCUCUGGUACGUGACUGACACUGAGACGCGAAAGCGUGGGGAGCGAAC
rnacentral:rRNA from 1 species